GAUAAACGCUGGCGGCGUGCCUAACACAUGCAAGUCGAACGAAGUUUUUCUUUCGGGAGGAACUUAGUGGCGGACGGGUGAGUAACGCGUGGGUAACCUGCCCUGUACAGGGGGACAACAGCUGGAAACGGCUGCUAAUACCGCAUAAGCCCUUAGCACUGCAUGGUGCAUAGGGAAAAGGAGCAAUCCGGUACAGGAUGGACCCGCGUCUGAUUAGCCAGUUGGCAGGGUAACGGCCUACCAAAGCGACGAUCAGUAGCCGAUCUGAGAGGAUGUACGGCCACAUUGGGACUGAGACACGGCCCAGACUCCUACGGGAGGCAGCAGUGGGGAAUAUUGCACAAUGGAGGAAACUCUGAUGCAGCGACGCCGCGUGAGUGAAGAAGUAUUUCGGUAUGUAAAGCUCUAUCAGCAGGAAAGAAAAUGACGGUACCUGACUAAGAAGCACCGGCUAAAUACGUG
rnacentral:rRNA from 1 species